CCGUCUUUCAAAAGAUUUGUCCUCGAAUUUAGACCUUCAUCAUAAGGGAAAAGAUUAGUGAUUACAGUAGGAAACACAUAUACCUCCUUGGCAUGUUCGCUUUAUUGUUGAUGCAUGUCAUGACUUGAUUCACAAUUCCUCUGGGAUUUGGAUCAAAUCUCUAUAGUCCACUUGCCAUGGAAAUUAGCUGUAAGAGAAAAAUAGUAUUACUAUGCAAAGGGUGGUUAAGGUCAAAAUGAAUCUCCCUGUAAGUAAGUACACUCGAACUUCCCUUUUCAUAAGAGAUAUUUCUUAAUAUUUUGUCCCUGUCAUCAGGACACUCCUUUAUUUUCUCUCUCUAUUUUUUCUUUAAUGAACCAUCUCUAGCUAUCUACUUAGCAUUUUUUAUGCUCAAUGGACCAUUGACUUUCUCUGUGGCCUUUUUUCUCUCUUCUACCUUUCUCGAGUAUUC
rnacentral:lncRNA from 1 species